UAUCCCUCUAACUAUUUUUAGAAUCGGUAGGACAACAAAGAAGUGCCUUUAAGCAAAAUAGUCCCUAUACUUGCAGAGUGUAUAUACAUUUAUUGGGACAUUUUAGAUCAGAAUGCUUGACACAUGUCAGAAAAGAGGAUUUGCAAUUUUUAAAACAAGUGUCAAAAUUGAAUUAUCAUUUGAAAUAAAGAAUUGAAAUUGUUUGAUGUACACCCUUUCCAAAACUGAGAAAUUCCCUACUUUUACUUUCAUUUUCAGAGUUUUUCAAUACAGACGCAUUUUGCCGGAAAACGAAUCUGACUUCAAACCACGAAAUUUUAACAGGAAAGAGACAAUUUGAUGAGCUUUCAUUGAAGAGGUCCCUCGUUGCUGAACGAAAAUUAGGGCCAGAGCUAUGAACCAUAACGUUAACAUUACCGCCUAUGGAAAAUGCAUUAGUGGACUAUACCCAUAUUGAGCUCCAUGCUGAUAACAUGUAAAUUGAAAUGGAAGUCAGUCCUUCAAAGAAUAAAACACAACAAUGAGCCACACUUGAUAGUUUUUCAAUACAGACGCAUUUUGCCGGAAAACGAAUCUGACUUCAAACCACGAAAUUUUAACAGGAAAGAGACAAUUUGAUGAGCUUUCAUUGAAGAGGUCCCUCGUUGCUGAACGAAAAUUAGGGCCAGAGCUAUGAACCAUAACGUUAACAUUACCGCCUAUGGAAAAUGCAUUAGUGGACUAUACCCAUAUUGAGCUCCAUGCUGAUAACAUGUAAAUUGAAAUGGAAGUCAGUCCUUCAAAGAAUAAAACACAACAAUGAGCCACACUUGAUAGUUUUUCAAUACAGACGCAUUUUGCCGGAAAACGAAUCUGACUUCAAACCACGAAAUUUUAACAGGAAAGAGACAAUUUGAUGAGCUUUCAUUGAAGAGGUCCCUCGUUGCUGAACGAAAAUUAGGGCCAGAGCUAUGAACCAUAACGUUAACAUUACCGCCUAUGGAAAAUGCAUUAGUGGACUAUACCCAUAUUGAGCUCCAUGCUGUGCGAUCAUUUCAAGCGAGCAAAAGUGAAAGUAGAAAAGCAGAAAGUUUCCGGUGAGAAAAAAUACUUCAUUCUAGCAGUGUCCAGCUAUCUUAGAUUAGUUUGCAUUGUAAGGGAAUUGUUUUAGUGUCCGAUAGAUUUGCAUUAAAUUGGAGUAAAUUAAUUUGUCAUGCAUGUGACAUGACUAUAUACCGAAGAUGUAGGUAUGCACUCUUUAACAUGUAGAAGCCUACCAGUACCAUGUUGGUUAGUACUUAA